GUGUGUGUGUGUGUGUGUGUGUGUGUGUGUGUGUGUGUGUGUGUGUGUGUGUGUGUGUGUGUGUGUGUGUGUGUGUGUGUGUGGAGAAGGAGGAGGCAAACCGACGGUCAGAUGGAAACACUGAAGAGAGACUCGGACUCGGGAGGACAAAAAGCAGCAUUAUUGGUCCAAAUGAGGAUGAGGCGUUACGGCGGGGAAAAGGAAUCACUUGUCAGGUCACAUUAAAUGCCAUGCAAGUGAUCCCCAAGCAAUAGGGACCUGAGAUGCACUGCUUUCAUCUGGAACUGGACAUUUAACAACACAGAGCUGCAGGAUAACAGAAGACGCAUAACUACAUACAUACACACAGUUCCACUGGAAUACUGCGUGUCUUUAUUAGCUAAAAUUACAUGCUGUUCUUGUUGCUGUUGCACUUGUUGCGUUUUAAAGCCGCUGAUCUGCAAUGCGCAUGCGCAUCUUCGCGCCCCCUGGUGGAAGCUCGACCUUGAACAUAAUGAGGCUUCAGAGUGUUGGUGGACAUCAAUCUUCCUUAAUUACAGCAUGCACCAUGCCUCCUCCACUCCAGCCAGCAGAAGCAGGGGGGUGUAUGAGGUCACCACACCAACAACAUCAUCACAGCCCUUUUCCAAACACAGAAUUUGGUAUUGGACUUUUUUUCAGGUUUCUUUGCCAAGAAGUAGAGCUUAUGAAAAUUUUUGGAUGCAAUAUUUUCCUAAGAAUCUCAUGCUCAGGCCAUGGAAAUCUUGAGAAGACAGGCAGUGAAAUUUGUAAUAUUAACCUAGACCAGCUGUCUACAAUGAACAUUGAAUCCCUUUAAAGAUGAAAACAUUGUGACAUUCAUAUUAUAUAUACUUUGAUAUUUUAUUAUCAAAUUUUUCAGUCGAUGUACAUUUGCAUUUGAACACUGGUUCUCUACUUUCAGCAUCAUAUUUAUACGCAAAACCAUUGAUCGGCAGUCAAAUCUUUUCUCACAUAUUUCUCAUAGAACAGUUUAUUUCUGUUUCCAAUUAAAUGAUUAUGGAACAGCAAAAAUGAUUUGAUCAGGAAAGCUGUGUUCCCUUAUGUUUACCUGGUUUAGGCAAUUAUGUUAGGCAAUUAUGUUUUUAAAGAGAUGUUCUGUUUUUAAAAGAAUGUGCUGUAGAUACAGAGGAGUAAGGACAUUGUAUACUGUUCAACUGACAUUGAAAUCCCUGUCUUAUCCGGUCCCUAUUGCCAUAUUCAGGAUUCCCUGUGCCAGUUAUGGAACAGCACUUAUCAUUGCAAUGCCCUAAGUCAGAUCUGCUGGUGAUCAUUUGUAUACAAAUCACAGGCCAUGCUGUAAUGCUGCCUUGGCCAAGACAAUGGAGUGAUUGUGAAAGAGGAUCUGGGUGGCACUUCUGCACAUGGCCCUGCAGUGCACUGAGACACAGGCAAACACAAACAUACGCGUGUAGCCUGUGUGCCCAAGCCAAAACCCCCUACACAACACAACACAAUGCAUACCUCAGAGAAUGUCCAAAGCCUCGUGCUGAAAUUUCUGCUGUGCUUCAUCCAUCAAUUGUCUCACAUAAAUGAUUAAUGAACAGGAAAGCAGGGAUAACAAUGGAGGGCUUACAGCCCAUAAACUGACCCUCUGGAUAUUGCAACAUACAAAUACAGAGGCAUUGACAAAUAUGCUAGUCCUAACAGCCUAAUGCUUUUAAAGAGGAAACAAAUUAUAUACUGACAAUCAUGUUCUUCUUAUAUCCGUUUAAACAAUGCAGCUCAGCACAUUAAAUUUUAAACAAGUACAUAACAAUUAUGAGAAAGACUGCAGCUGAAAAUGUAAUUAUUCUAAAAAGACUGCAUAAAUUAUGAUCCAUGUGAGGACAACAGGCAUAUAAAUAUUAUAGUAUAGAAUUAUGUAAUUUUCCAAAUUAUACAGGCAGCUUGAAUUGUUCCAUUCAUGCCACAACAUCGGAUAUUUUUCUCAGAAAGUGUUCACAUUACAGCAAGUGUGCUUGUGCUCACAUCACCUACAGCUCGGAGUCCACUGUAUUUCACUGUCUGCUUCAGUCAUUUGCCUAUAUUGGUUUUGAUAAUUUAUUAUGGUUUUAAAUUUGACUAAACUCAACAAGCUACUCAGAUCCACAUCCAACACCAGAGGAGGUUAUAUGGUUAUGCGAAGCUGUGACAGUGGCAGAAAAUCAAAAAGAUGCUCAGACACUGUUCUGAUGAAUGCUGAUGAAGAGGCAUGUGCAGCAGCUGUUUGUUCUCACUUUGUACUGUACUAGGAAGAAAAAAUAGACUAGUUGACAGGCCUAGAAGACAUAAAGUGUUUUUCCAAAACCAAGGCAACUUCGAAGUGCAUAUCAGUUUGUCUUGCAAGAAUUUUUUCUUUUUUUAUCAGUGGUCUGGGAAAAUGAACCUGCUCAUCUUGGCAAUCUUUAUAAUGCUUUCUAAUAUUUUCUGCUUUUGUUAAUUACAUAAUUGGAUUUGUAACAGAACAAAAUCUAGCACAUUACUAGAACUUGAAAGACAUAUAAAAUAUAAAUACAUAACAUGUAUAUGCAUAGCAUGCGUGAGAGCCAUCAUGUGUAAUAAUAUGUGAAUAAAAAGGCCUUUAACAUGUCUUUGGAUUUCCUACCAGGCCUGGAUCUAGGACAGCUUCAUUAUUUGUUCUGCUGUGGCUGUAGCUAUAUAGAACAUGGGCUCUGUAUAAAGCAUUUUGACAUGUCACAGAAAGUUUAUUAAAUUUUGCUCAUUAAAUUCAGUCUUCCCAA